UUUUAUGGAGAGUUUGAUCCUGGCUCAGGAUGAACGCUGGCGGCGUGCCUAAUACAUGCAAGUCGAGCGAACGGACGAGAAGCUUGCUUCUCUGAUGUUAGCGGCGGACGGGUGAGUAACACGUGGAUAACCUACCUAUAAGACUGGGAUAACUUCGGGAAACCGGAGCUAAUACCGGAUAAUAUUUUGAACCGCAUGGUUCAAAAGUGAAAGACGGUCUUGCUGUCACUUAUAGAUGGAUCCGCGCUGCAUUAGCUAGUUGGUAAGGUAACGGCUUACCAAGGCAACGAUGCAUAGCCGACCUGAGAGGGUGAUCGGCCACACUGGAACUGAGACACGGUCCAGACUCCUACGGGAGGCAGCAGUAGGGAAUCUUCCGCAAUGGGCGAAAGCCUGACGGAGCAACGCCGCGUGAGUGAUGAAGGUCUUCGGAUCGUAAAACUCUGUUAUUAGGGAAGAACAUAUG
rnacentral:rRNA from 1 species